rnacentral:rRNA from 1 species
ACUCCUACGGGAGGCAGCAGUAGGGAAUCUUCGGCAAUGGGGGCAACCCUGACCGAGCAACGCCGCGUGAGUGAAGAAGGUUUUCGGAUCGUAAAGCUCUGUUGUAAGUCAAGAACGAGUGUGAGAGUGGAAAGUUCACACUGUGACGGUAGCUUACCAGAAAGGGACGGCUAACUACGUGCCAGCAGCCGCGGUAAUACGUAGGUCCCGAGCGUUGUCCGGAUUUAUUGGGCGUAAAGCGAGCGCAGGCGGUUUGAUAAGUCUGAAGUUAAAGGCUGUGGCUCAACCAUAGUUCGCUUUGGAAACUGUCAAACUUGAGUGCAGAAGGGGAGAGUGGAAUUCCAUGUGUAGCGGUGAAAUGCGUAGAUAUAUGGAGGAACACCGGUGGCGAAAGCGGCUCUCUGGUCUGUAACUGACGCUGAGGCUCGAAAGCGUGGGGAGCGAACAGGAUUAGAUACCCCGGUAGUCCCAUG